UACGUAGGGGGCAAGCGUUGUCCGGAUUUAUUGGGCGUAAAGCGCUCGCAGGCGGUCCGAUGCGUCGUGCGUGAAAGACCCCGGCUCAACUGGGGAGGGUCGUGCGAUACGGUCGGACUCGAGGCCAGUAGGGGGACGCGGAAUUCCGGGUGUAGUGGUGGAAUGCGUAGAGAUCCGGAGGAACACCAGCGGCGAAGGCGGCGUCCUGGACUGGUACUGACGCUGAUGCGCGAAAGCGUGGGGAGCAAACAGG
rnacentral:rRNA from 1 species